rnacentral:lncRNA from 1 species
UUUUUAUCAAAAAAUUAUGGAUCUUAUGUCCUUUCCAUGUGAAAUUUAAUUCUCUAUAACUUUGUAGAAGAAAUUUUUUCCAAAUUCCACCUCUAACAUAGAGAAAUAGUCUCACCGAAAAAGUGCGCCAGAAAAUAUUUUCCGGUCAUCUUCUCCGGCGAUCAAAAACUUUUCCGUCGAGUUUUCUCAAAUUUUCUUCCCCAGAUCAGAUCUACUAUAUUUUAGGAGUCCAACCAUGAUCUUAGAUUUGAAAACAAGCCAUCAAUCAACGUUAGAUCUAUG